GCCUCUGAGGAUGAUCAUUGUGAAACUUUCGUUCUUCCUAGUAGUUUUAUGCGGAAAAUUUUGGAGACCUGAACUGAAGAGGC
rfam:Punica granatum cultivar Dabenzi scaffold239, whole genome shotgun sequence.